CCUGGGUCUGGCCAGAGCCCCCACAAAGCUCUUCUGUAGCCUUGCAGAGCUGCCCUUGCUGAGUCAUUCCUUGGCAUCCCACUCUCUGCUGAUGCUGCUGAUUUGGAUGCUCAGUGAACAAUGCCCUUAGUUAGGAAAGCUGCAGUCUGUUCUCAUCAGCCACCACAUCCCUAUAUGGAGACCUGUAUGAGAAAUUCCUUAGAUAUUAACUGCCAGCAAAAAAUUUCCUUUCUCUGAGGAACUGGGAUGCUUUUUCCCUAGAGGCAAGAAGAAUCAUGCAACUACCUUUGUUCCUCUUCCUUUCUCUUUGGCUCACAGAAGCUCAAAGCAAUAACUGAGGCACAACUCUGGCAGUCGUACAGGACUCUG
rnacentral:lncRNA from 10 species